UACAGAGGGUGCAAGCGUUAAUCGGAAUUACUGGGCGUAAAGCGCGCGUAGGCGGCUGCUUAAGUCGGAUGUGAAAUCCCCGGGCUCAACCUGGGAACUGCACUCGAUACUGGGCGGCUAGAGUAUGAGAGAGGGAGGUAGAAUUCCACGUGUAGCGGUGAAAUGCGUAGAUAUGUGGAGGAAUACCGGUGGCGAAGGCGGCCUCCUGGUUCAAUACUGACGCUGAGGUGCGAAAGCGUGGGGAGCAAACAGG
rnacentral:rRNA from 1 species